CGAUAUGGAAAUGGCGGGGCGACGGGAUUCACGGCGCGAGGCAGCGGCGGUUCACGAGGAUGGCGCGAGCUCCUCCCUCUACCGGCGCGCUCCUUCUCUCUCGGAUUCCCUCAGUGU